AGUGCGAGAUCGGUGAGAGCGUAGCCAGUGUGUCUGUGGCCUGUGUUGCAGCUCCAAGGUGGCGGCCGUCAGCUGUAACGACAGUGACGGCGACCUGUUCUGCCUUGGUAGCUGCCCAGCCGAGGAGAGGCUGGUGCGCGUGCUCCGUCUGCGCCAACAGGACGUUCUCUGGCACACCGCCCGACUCACACUGGCACGCGAGCUUUGCGGCCUCAGGGAUAACGCCCAGAACCGGACAUCGGCAUUCUUACUGGAUGCCAGGACAAGCCUGGUCCAUGACACGUAUCCAAAGUUGCUGUGGGACGCACGACAUUCCCACCGUGAAGGCCCAGUCGCAGGAGACACCCCACCACCCGAAGACCUGCAAAAGCCUGAGCACUACCUCGUGACCGAGAUGCAACCUGGCUGGCGUCCGCUGACGUCCUACAAGGU